rnacentral:rRNA from 1 species
AUACGGAGGGGGUUAGCGUUGUUCGGAAUUACUGGGCGUAAAGCGCACGUAGGCGGAUUGGAAAGUUGGGGGUGAAAUCCCAGGGCUCAACCCUGGAACUGCCUCCAAAACUAACAGUCUAGAGUUCGAGAGAGGUGAGUGGAAUUCCAAGUGUAGGGGUGAAAUUCGUAGAUAUUUGGAGGAACACCAGUGGCGAAGGCGGCUCACUGGCUCGAUACUGACGCUGAGGUGCGAAAGCGUGGGGAGCGAACAGGAUUAGAAACCAGAGUAGUCC